UUUCGUUAGUCCCAGACCAGGAGCAGUAGAGGCAACAUCAAAAUCCAAAUUUCUUGUUUAGUUUUCAGUUUUUUUUUUAUUUUUGGGUUCCUGUCAAAAAGGUGAAUCAAAAUUUGUACACAAAUUGUGUGGCAAUAUAUUAAUAAUUUUAUUGUUUAGAAAUUGUACGGCUCAAAAUGUGUUAUGGACCUUGUGGACCGUGCUACGGCGGAUGCUACAGUCCUUGCUGUAGCCCCUGCUGUGGGCCAUGUGGACCGUGUGGACCAUGUGGACCGUGUGGACCCUGUGGACCCUGUUGCAGUCCCUGCUGUGGACCGUGCUGUGGACCCUGCGGUGGAUGCUGCAGCAGCUGUGGACCUUCUUGCUGAGGAUCAACAUCGCCAACUAGCUAACUGAAUUCCAAUUUGCCAAAUGUCUUUGCUGACUUAUUCGACUUGAAGACAAGAUCAAGUCGUAAUAAAGCUGGAUGGGAAACGAA
rnacentral:lncRNA from 1 species